GUGAGGAAUAUUGGUCAAUGGGCGGGAGCCUGAACCAGCCAAGUCGCGUGAAGGAAGAAGGAUCUAUGGUUCGUAAACUUCUUUUGCAGGGGAAUAAAGUGCAGGACGUGUCCUGUUUUGUAUGUACCCUGAGAAUAAGGAUCGGCUAACUCCGUGCCAGCAGCCGCGGUAAUACGGAGGAUCCGAGCGUUAUCCGGAUUUAUUGGGUUUAAAGGGUGCGUAGGUGGUUUGAUAAGUCAGCGGUGAAGUUUGCAGCUUAACUGUAAAAAUGCCGUUGAAACUGUCGGACUUGAGUGUAAAUGAGGUAGGCGGAAUGCGUGGUGUAGCGGUGAAAUGCAUAGAUAUCACGCAGAACUCCGAUUGCGAAGGCAGCUUACUAAGCUACAACUGACACUGAAGCACGAAAGCGUGGGGAUCAAACAGGAUUAGAAACCCGAGUAGUCC
rnacentral:rRNA from 1 species